rnacentral:rRNA from 1 species
GAAUCUGGAGACAGGUGCUGCAUGGCUGUCGUCAGCUCGUGUCGUGAGAUGUUGGGUUAAGUCCCGCAACGAGCGCAACCCUUGCCUUUAGUUGCCAGCAGUUCGGCUGGGCACUCUAAAGGGACUGCCGGUGUUAAACCGGAGGAAGGUGGGGAUGGACGUCAAAUCAGCACGGCCCUUACGUCCAGGGCUACACACGUGCUACAAUGGCCGAUACAGAGGGCAGCUACCUGGUGACAGGAUGCAAAUCUCCAAAGUCGGUCUCAGUUCGGAUCGGAGUCUGCAACCCGACUCCGUGAAGUUGGAUUCGCUAGUAAUCGCGCAUCAGCCAUGGCGCGGUGAAUACGUUCCCGGGCCUU